AGUGAACGCUGGCGGUAGGCCUAACACAUGCAAGUCGAACGGCAGCACAGUAAGAGCUUGCUCUUACGGGUGGCGAGUGGCGGACGGGUGAGGAAUACAUCGGAAUCUACUUUUUCGUGGGGGAUAACGUAGGGAAACUUACGCUAAUACCGCAUACGACCUACGGGUGAAAGCAGGGGAUCUUCGGACCUUGCGCGAUUGAAUGAGCCGAUGUCGGAUUAGCUAGUUGGCGGGGUAAAGGCCCACCAAGGCGACGAUCCGUAGCUGGUCUGAGAGGAUGAAUCGCCACACUGGAACUGAGACACGGUCCAGACUCCUACGGGAGGCAGCAGUGGGGAAUAUUGGACAAUGGGCGCAAGCCUGAUCCAGCCAUACCGCGUGGGUGAAGAAGGCCUUCGGGUUGUAAAGCCCUUUUGUUGGGAAAGAAAAGCAGCAGGUUAAUACCCCGCUGUUCUGACGGUACCCAAAGAAUAAGCACCGGCUAACUUCGUG
rnacentral:rRNA from 1 species